AGCGGAGGGCGGGAAUGAAGGGAGAUGGGUGAGGCCUCAGCAGUUAGGCUAGAGAUAAGGAGGGUGCAGGCAGGUCCACACAGGCCAAAGGACCAAUCUGGAGGCAGGCAGCUCUGACACAGAAGUGGGCUGACAGGGAGGAAGGCCUGGCCUGCAGGACAGACCAGUGCAUGCAGGCAGUUCAGGCAGGAGCCAGCCUUGGUUGUCCUUUUGACUGUCCUGAUGGGUAGAGAAUGAGGUUGUUGGAGGCAGUGCCGGUUGCCCCUCUAUCACCUGAACAAUCAAACCUGAAGCUUGCAGUUACUGGACCUACAUCUUCAGGAGGCAGGGUGAGAGGAAUAAAUGCAGCUAGAGAGAAUUGCUUCCUGCUCUGAUGUCACUGCCAGCCUCUGCCAGCCUGUGGUUUCCUCCUUGCCAAUGCCUCGUGUCAGGCCUCACUUGUACUGUCUGUUCAAAGAAGAAAUGCUUCACUGGGCCUUGGGCAGUCUCUCACUGAACUGUUUAUCUGUGUCUCAAAAUGGCAAGAUACUGUCCUGGAUUCCCUGUCCUGUUGUGGCAGAAUAGAGAGAGCUUUCCUUCCUUGCCUAAAUGGAGGCACCACAAUCCCACAAACUUCCCUACCCCGCCCCCCCGGGAUCCAAAGCAGCCUUCACUGCAGAGAUGCCAGCUGUAGGCCCCUGAAGCUGCAUCGAGACCUCCUCCGCUCCUGGCUCUGCAAGGAAUACCCCAACUGGAUUGGAAUAUUUUCCCGAGAACUGUUCUAAAGGAGUAUUAGUUACUGGGCCAGCGCCAGCCUCUCUUUCCGUCACUGACCGUGACCCCUCAGCCUCCAAAGAGAGAAGAAGGCAAACAGUCUUCCUCUGAAGGUUGCUCACUGAAUUUGUGUUUGCCCAGGGCUGCCUGGCUGCCAGGGAAGCCUGACCUCGGGGGAACAUGGACAAAGGGAGCAGUGCCCUGUCUGGCUGGCUGUUCAGGGACAGGGGCCCCGUGCACCUGCAGAAGCUGUCCUCUGAGAUACGCAGUUGUGCAUUCUGCUUCUGCCUUAAACAAACUUAAGCAGAGGCAGGCCAAAUCGUGUCACAGCCAUAUAAAAAUUGCAAAUGAGGAGCCAUGGACAGAGACUAUACAGGAAAGACAUACCCAACUAUAACAGUGGUUGUCUCUAGGCAGAGGGAUUAUAGGCGACUUUGUACUCAGGAUUAUCUGUCCUUCUGUUCUCACCCAAGUUUUCUGCAUUGAGCAUAUCACCUAUUACAUGGAAAAACCAAUGCAUUAAUUUUGAAAAGUAAAAUAUAUUCUAAAAUUUAAAACAGAUCAAAAUUACAUGGAGAUUGAGUUAAACAGAUUAUAUUUUCUAGUCACUAUAAAAGAAAUAAUCAGACUAGCACUCACCAAAGGACCACAAGCACCCUGAGGGCAGGGGCUGCUUCACAUUCACAUGCCUCUGUCUCUUACCUUCUACAGAAAACAGAGCCACCAGAUGCGGCUACACUUAACUUCUUGCCUGUGUGCGGCCAUUCCUUCCCACUCAUGGCUGUGCGGAAGUGUCCUAUUCAGAGCCACCCAUGAAGUCUGUUCCGGAUCCCACCGACUCUCACCUGCCAGCGGGCUCCAGGCCACACAAAGCUAUUUAAAAAUACUGACUCCCUUGUUCCCUCUUAUUUACUUUUUGAGUCUACUCCACUUGGGCUUCAGUUCUCACCACUUACUAGAGUCACCACUGAUUUUCAUGUCACAGAAACCAGUGGGUUUUUUCCAGUCCUUCUUCAACUGACAUCAGUGCAGUUUUUGACCCACCUGACCACUCACAGUGCCAUGAAACAUUCUUCCAGUGACUUCCAUGACACAAUUACUAGUUUUCUUUUUACCUCUUUGGCUGUUCCACUUCACGUUACUUUAAGGUCUCAGGACUUGGUCCCACACCCUCUUCCUUCUCCGCUCUAGGAUCUACUAUUAAGUAACUUCAUCAGUCUCUACGAUUCAAAUAACAUACACAGUAUAUGGUGACAACUCAUAAAUUCUUAUUUCCAACUCAGACCCUGCUUCUGAGCUCUAACCUAGCAUAUCAAACUGCUUUACAUUUUUUAUAUUUGAAUGUUUCACUGAAAGCACACAUUGAAUAUGUUAAAAAGGUAACACAUGACCUUAUUUACACCAAAUAAAUACCUAAUAUUCACAUAAUGCUUCCUAUCUUAAUAAAUACCAACACAUUGCUUGAAGUUGCUCAUGCUGGAAACCAGAAAAUCAUCUUUGACCACUCCUGUUCUUGAAAUCUUGCAGAAAAUUAAUCACUUAUGACAAUGAUGGAGAGACAGGAUUUGAAUUUACCCUCACAUCUUAAACAACUAAAAAUCUGGAAAAAGCACAUGAAACUGUGUUUUCCAAGACAUUGGACACAAGGCAAUGAAGAUAAGUAAUACUUAGGACAGAAACCAAAUGAGGUGAGUCCUAAAAUUGCUCCAGCAUUACCUGGAAAGAGUUUUCAAGACACAGCACAGAGAGGAGGGAACCUAGGCUAGAGUCCAGAGGGCUCCCUGAGUUGAAGAAAUGGACCUGGGAUCUGGAAAGGCUAAGCCAGCUACAGUUUAGCAGAGAGGAGAAAGAUCAACAAUGACAGGGCUCCAGAAAUCUGUACUACAAAACAUUGCUGAAACAAUCUAAAGAAGAUGUAUUAAAUAGAGAAAUAUAUACUGUUCAUGACUGGGAACACUCAAUAUUUAUAAGACAUCUAUUUUUAUCAUCAAUGCAACCCCAAUCAAAAUUCUAAAAUAGUAUGUGUAAAUAGAUAAGCUGAUUAUAAAAUUCAUAUGGAAACUCAAAGGACAUAGAAUAGCCAAAACUACUUUGAAAAAGUUGGAGCACUUACAUUACCUGAUUUCAGGACUUACUAUAAAUCUACAAUAAUCAAGACAUGGUGGUACUGGUAUAAAGAUAGACUGAUAUAGCAAUGGAGAAGAACAGAGUCCAGAAAUAUACCUGUAUAUAUGGUCAACUUAUUUUCUUCAAAAGUGCAAAAGGGAUUUAUAUAGAUAAAGUAUAGUCUUUUCAACAAUGGUGUUGGAACACUUGGAUACUGUAUACAAAAAAAAAAAAAAGAACUCCAAUCCAUACCUCACAUUAUACAUUUAAAAAAAAAUAACUCAAAAUGUAUCAUAGUCACAAAUGUAAGAGCUGAAAGUAUAAAAUUUUUCAAAGAAAACAGGAGAAAAUCAUACUGAAUAAGUUUGGAUUAGGCAAAGUUUCUUUGCCACUAAACACACAUUCUAUAAAAGAUUCAGUUGAUAAGAUGUACUUCAGCAAAAUCAAGAAUUUCUCUCUUUCAAAAGACAAUGUGAAGAAAAUGAAAAUAUAAGUCAUAUUUUGUUAGAAAAUAUUUGCAUAUCAGGUAUUUGAUAAAGUAUUGGCAUCCAUAAUACAUAAAGAGCUCUCACAACACAAUAAUAAGAAAGCAAACAACCCAAUUAAAAAAUGGACAAAAGAUUUGAACAGGCACUUCAUCAAAGUUGAUACACAGAUGGCAGAAUAGCACAUGAAAAGAUGUUCAUUUUAAGUCAUUAAAGAAAUGCAAAUUAAACCAAAAUGAGAUUCCAUUUUAUUCCAGUUAGAAUGUCUAAAAUUAAAGUCCAAACUUACCAAGUACUUGUCUGAACAUUCAAGAGCAACAAAAACUUUUAUACACUGCUGGUGUGGAUACAGAAAUGGUAUAGCCAUUUUGGUAAAUAGUUUGGCAAUUUCCUAAAAAAGGUAAACAUAUACCUACCAUAUGACCCUGCCAGUGUACUUCUAGAUAAUUAUGCAAGCAAAAUGAAAGCACAUGCCCAUACAAAGCACAUGAAUGUUGAUAGCAGCUUUGUUUGUAAUAGUCUCAAACUGAAGGUAACCCAAAUAACCCACUAAUAAUAAUCCUAAUAAGCAAUGGGAAAAUCAGUAGUGAUACAUACAUGCAACAGAAUAGUGCUUAGC